AGCUGGUUGAAAUUGGGCCAAAU
rnacentral:miRNA from 1 species